CUCAGCCAACUGUAGAAGAACAACCCUUCAGAGCUCCUGAGAGUUGGUCGUCUUCAUACAGCUACUCUGGAUUUAGGUGGAUUAAAACUCCAAUCAAGUACUUUGCAGUGUGUAGUGCAAAAAGUCGUGGGUGAACGGAUUUUAAAAAAUUUUCAUUUUGUCUACAAUUAAUUAUGACUUUUAUUUACAAAUUUAUUAUUUUGCACUUCAAGAAAAUCAUUUAAGAAUUUUAAUGUUUUGUA
rnacentral:lncRNA from 1 species